AGUGAACGCUGGCGGCGUGCUUAACACAUGCAAGUCGAACGAGAACGGAUUAUAGCUUGCUAUAAUUGUCAGCUAAGUGGCGCACGGGUGAGUAAUGUAUAGGUAAUAUGCCUCUUACUAAGGGAUAACAAAUGGAAACGUUUGCUAAUACCUUAUACUCCUUAUUAACAGAAGUUAAUAAGGGAAAGAUUUAUUGGUAAGAGAUUAGCCUGUAUUGUAUCAGUUAGUUGGUGGGGUAAUGGCUUACCAAGACUAUGACACAUAGCUGGUUUGAGAGGAUGAUCAGUCACACUGGAACUGAGACACGGUCCAGACUCCUACGGGAGGCAGCAGUGGGGAAUAUUGCACUAUGGACGAAAGUCUGAUGCGGCAACGCCGCGUGGAGGAUGACACAUUUCGGUGCGUAAACUCCUUUUAUAUGAGAAGAUAAUGACGGUAUUAUAUGAAUAAGCACCGGCUAACUCCGUGCCAGCAGCCGCGGUAA
rnacentral:rRNA from 1 species